rnacentral:rRNA from 1 species
UGGGGAAUAUUGCUCAAUGGGAGAAAUCCUGAAGCAGCAACGCCGCGUGGAGGAUGAAGGGUCUAUGACUUGUAAACUCCUGUAAAGAAGGAAAAAAUUCCCAUUAGAUGGGAGAUGAUGGUACUUCUGGAGUAAGCCCCGGCUAACUACGUGCCAGCAGCCGCGGUAAUACGUAGGGGGCAAGCGUUGUCCGGAUUUACUGGGUGUAAAGGGUGCUCAGGCGGAUUUGUAAGUCAGAGGUGAAAUCUUACAGCUUAACUGUGAAACUGCCUUUGAUACUGCAAGCCUAGAGUAUGGAAGAGAGUAAUGGAAUAUCUGGUGUAGCAGUGAAAUGCGUAGAUAUCAGAUAGAACACCAAUGGCGAAGGCAGUCACUUGGUCCAUUACUGACGCUAAAGCACGAAAGCGUGGGUAGCAAACAG